GUGAAACCAAAGAAAUCGUCAUGGUGGAAAAGAGCUUAAUAUGGGUAUGAAAAAAUGUUGAUUUCUCUCACCCCAGAGAUAUUUCUAAGAAACUAGAAAUAAUUUUCUAGGUAAAUGGGCUUAUGCAAAAUAUAAGGAAAGAGUCCACAAUCACAGAAGAUGUUCUGCUCUUCACUGACAUGUCUCUUCCUGGACAUGCUAAUCCUUAUGGAAUUCACCAACAUAUUGCAUAGAGAAAACCAUUCCAUCAAUAUGGAAGAAAUAAAAUAAAGCCAAGAAAGAAGAUGGAUGAUCUGUCAAGCAAUGAAAGACUUUUCUCCUCUGGGACAAUGUACCACUUCCACAGUACUCUCCAUCCCUCCCUGAUCAGGAUGCUGGUGUCUGGGGAACAUCUAAUGGACACUGCGAGUUGACCAAGACAAAACAUUUGAUCAUAUCAGAAAAACAAUAUCUCUUGUAUUUUCUGCAGUGGGAAGGGCAUAACAACAUUCUUUCGUGGAAGUUUGGCAGUCAUCCAUCAUCAAUGCUCUCCUUGGAAGUUCUCAUGCAUCAUGGAAAAGGGCCUGCCCUCUCCCUACCAACAAUAUUUGCCUGGAAGGAGAAAAUUCCCCCUCCCCACAGCUCUAGCUCUCUUUCUCUGACAAAUCCGCAGUGCAGCAGGAAGUGGCAAGUAGGUGUGAAUAAACUCAGCCAAUAUUCAGUGCCAAGAAAAUGAAGCACUUUUUUUU
rnacentral:lncRNA from 1 species